AGUUUUCGAUUGAAGAAACUGGUGUAGUUUUCUGCACUGAAAUUGCACUUUUCUUGCAGAAGUGUUGUCAAAACACCGACACCAUGUUCCAUUGAUUGGAACUGCAAUAAAAAAGUGCAAUUCCAGUGCAAUUUCGGGGCAGAGAUUUGGCACCGAAAAUUUUGUCGGUGGAGCCAGUGCACGCACUAACACCAAUAGCGGAAACGUCAAAACCACGAUUAAAACAACACAAAAUGGAAAAGAAAAAAAAUCGAAAAUCAGCGACCGGACAAUCGGUAGCGAUUGAACUACGUUAACUGCGGUGUUUUAAUGAGCAAGAAACAUGUUGCCUCACUGGCACAAUUGUACGAGAAUGCAUCUAAUAAUACAGAAAGUUAUCACGACAGCCGAACUAAAAAAUAUUGCUUAUGUUGACCUGCUGUAAAUGAUGGCAACGAGUAUCAUACCAGUCAGGUGAAAAUUGAGGUGAAUCGGUUUAUUACGUGACCAGCCAGCGUCGUGAAGACCCAAAUUUGUCCGAAUGCCGACCCACAUUAUGCUAGAUGGAAAUAUACCUUCGCAAGCAAACCGAUUCAAAUCUAAUGCACACGGGAAAAGUGGAUAUACAAUCGGUUAAAAAUUCGAGGCACAGGUUUUAAUGAAGUCCACUCCAUUAAAUUAAGAAACUAUAGUAAGUCCUUUGCGGUUGGAGCUCGAACAUACGUACAUACGGCACGGCACCGCCCCGGACAAGUGUCAAUGCCUGCUGAAUUGGUGUCCGUGCACGGAGCUGAACCGGCACUGAAACGGAUCGGAUAGGUGUAAAUAGUGCUUUAUUCUCCCAUAUAUUUUACGUGUACGCAUUCAUAUCUAUCCGGCGCAGUACCUGUGUCGGAAAGUGUGGAUACGUACAGAUGAAGUAUAUGGGUAUAGUGCUGGGUAUUCCGAUGGGGGCCAAAUAUUGAACUCACGCUUAAUAAAAAUCCAAAGAGUAUUAUAUUUUCGGAAAAGUUUUUGAAGAAGUCAAGAACUAUUUUAAGAUCGACGGAUUAAUUGUGAAUUCUAUUAGAAUAUUAAGAAUUCUAUUAGCAAGCAAUAUUUUAAAAUCUUGACUGCCUUCUUCUUCUUCUAGUUCUGGUUAUUUUUCGUCGGUCUAUUUCCGCUACGAGGCCAAAUACCGACGCCAGAAAGGUGACGACUCCCAUCUGGACUAGAUAUCAUCCAUCAACUUAUGGACCGGGGACCAACAGCAUUACUUCCCUUCCGAAGGAAGGCGUAACCUUCAGAUUUUUCUCACCUCAGAAAACUCAACGACCUCGACUGGGAUUGAACCCAGACCAAGUGGGGUGAGUGGCGGUCACGUCUACCACCCACCCAACCAUCGGCGCCGUCAUCCUGAAUGUCAAAUUCAUGAUUGUAUAAAAAAUGAGGGUUAUUGAAAUGAGCUCACAGGACGGCGCAUGUAUUUUGUAGAACUCCUAUGUAUCAAUUUAGAAGUAUAGUGUCUUCGACAAAGCUCUUGAGCACGUCGAGGGCUACCGGUGGUAAACUAAUUAAUUUUGAAUUCGUUCACUAACAAUAUUGAAAUUUUCAGUACAUGUUAGAGCAUGCUUUAUCUCACAAUCCUGAGUACAUGGUGGUUUAGACGAAUAGUAUCUCAAACAAAGUUCUUGAUUAGAUUAAUUUUGGACUCAGGCGCUAGCUGGCGUAUGAAAUCUUUUAAAUUCCUAUUUCUCAAGAUCAUGGUUGUUCAAAAAAGCGGUUUCAUGAACAAAAUUCAGAACGAGAUACAGAAUUUUCUGACUAGUAAUUUACUUUUUCAUCCGAAGUUCCAUUA